rnacentral:pre_miRNA from 1 species
UUUUACGGAUGAGCAAAGAGUAGUUUCUUGGGAUGGAAUCUACUCCUGGGGAAGAUGCUGUAAA